UCAUUUUUUUUUAUAAAUCAAUAAAUGAAAUACAGAUAAGAUUGAUUGUUUAAUCUUAAAAUUAAUUUUUGUUAAUUUAAAAACAAUAGUCUAAGAACUGUUCAUGUUUAAUUCUUAGGAGGAAACAACCUUACAGUACUUAAUUUACCCAGGAGUACACUACCUGUAGUUGAAAAAAGACUGAAGGCCAGACUUAGGCAGGAUGAUUGAACAAAAUCUGCUUGCAGAUGGACUAUUGAGGCAAAAAAAUUGGACUCUCAGCAGGUGAACAGAUGUUCAGCAAGAAAUUCUCACAUCAAAUGCUGUAGAUUACACUGAUAUACCCCCCUCCCCCUAAAGAAAAAAAGAACAGAGAAACCAAUCAUUAACAGCUUGAGACUUAGUGCACAUAACCUUGCUACAGAAAAAGAGAUCGAGAGAUUUGCCUAUUAACACUCCCUAAUGAAAGAUUUUAUAAAUUAUUUGUAACACAGGAGAGAUUAAAGAUGGUUUUUAUUUUCAAUUCAGCUACCAAAAAUACAAUAAUUAUAAGAUAAAUUUUGAAAGGAAGUUGAUGUAUUUUUUCUUGAAAGGAAAAGUAUCAAAUUUGUCUCAUAUACCUUUAAUAGUCAUGUCCAGAAAUACUGAAAAUAACACUUAUUUAUUAAGAAAUAUCAUAUAUUUAGAAAUCAUUGUUAUACAUAUUUAUUGUGUAUUAUUGUGUAAAUUAUAUUACUGUAUGAUUUAUGUAUAGCCUCAAAAUCUAGAAACAGUGUAUUGUUUAAAAUUUUAUGAAUAAUUGCUGAUUCUUAUACCAGUAUGUUGCGCCUUUAACAAUUAUUGUAAUUGUGUUAGCUCCGAUAAAUAUUUAUAUACAUAAUUAUACUUCUCUGGUAUAUAUACACGCAUGUGAUAUAUUUGUUCAUGUACAAUACAUCUAUUAAUUAAGAUUCCAUAAUAUAACAUAAAGUUUUGGCGUAACUCUGCAAAAAUAUACAUGUAUUUUGAUUGAGAACCUUUACUUAUUUGUAAAUAAUGAAACCAGUAUAUUUUAUAACAGAGGAAAUUCGGAUUCAAAUUUUUUGGGUUUUUUGAAACAUGGCAAUAAUUUCAACAAUUAUUUCCACAAUAAAUACAUCAUAUCACAUUUCAGAGAAAAUGUAUUUAUCUAACCGCCCAUCCUGUCUCUUAAAUUAUUAGCCUAUAUGAUAUAUUGACAGCAUUUUCUUUGUUCAAUGAUAUUUUUUAAAAUGAGGAAAUUCGAGCUAAUCUGGCAAUUUAAUGAAUAUGAAUACCCCUUCAUUUUUGUGCUUUAAAUGAUUCAUUCAACAUCUAUCUUUCCUAUGGUUGUAAAAAUAAUUUUUUCUGAAUAUAUGAUUUUAUUAAAAAAGUUAAAUGAAAAUGAACAAUUGUCAAAGACUAAAAUAUCAUUUUAUAAAGAGUACAGAGGAAAUUCGGAAUAAAUAUUUUGUGUGAUUUGUGAUCAAAAGUUUGUUAUUUUUUUACUUUAGUACAUUGCUUUAACAUAAAACUUAAGACUUAAAUUGUUUAUUCAUACCUAUUCAUCUCCAUUUUUCCAAAACAUCAAUUUUAAAAUACCAUAUUGGAUUUUCUUAAUUCCACAGGAGGAAAAAAUCUAUUUUUAGCAUCAACUUUUCAAAUGAUCUUCAAGCAAAAUCAAGGAGUAUGACCCACACC